GACGAACCGUGCGAACGUUGUUCGGAAUCACUGGGCUUAAAGGGCGCGUAGGCGGGCGAUCAAGUCAGGGGUGAAAGCCCCAGCUCAACUGGGGAAGUGCCUCUGAUACUGGUAGUCUCGAGGGAGGUAGGGGCGUGCGGAACUUCCGGUGGAGCGGUGAAAUGCGUAGAGAUGUGGAGGAACACCAGUGGCGAAGGCGGCUUUCUGGUCUGUAACUGACGCUGAGGCGCGAAAGCGUGGG
rnacentral:rRNA from 1 species